rnacentral:rRNA from 1 species
GGGUUUAGACCCGUAGCAAAUAGCUCCGUAACACGUGGUCAAACUACCCUCUGGACCGGAAUACCCUCGGGAAACUGAGGCUAAUUCCGGAUACUGCUUUCAUGUUGGAACACAGAAAGUCGGAAACGGUCCGCCGCCGGAGGACGUGACUGCGGCCGAUUAGGUAGACGGUGGGGUAACGGCCCACCGUGCCGAUAAUCGGUACGGGUUGUGAGAGCAAGAACCCGGAGACGGUAUCUGAGACAAGAUACCGGGCCCUACGGGGCGCAGCAGGCGCGAAACCUUUACACUGCACGCCAGUGCGAUAAGGGGACCCCGAGUGCGAGGGCAUACAGUCCUCGCUUUUCGUGACCGUAAGAAGGUCUCAGAAUAAGAGCUGGGCAAGACCGGUGCCAGCCGCCGCGGUAAUACCGGCAGCUCGAGUGAUAGCCACUAUUAUUGGGCCUAAAGCGUCCGUAGCCGGCCGAACAGGUCCGUCGGGAAAUCCACCUGCUCAACAGGUGGACGUCCGGCGGAAACCAGUCGGCUUGGGGCCGGGAGACCAGAGAGGUACGUCCGGGGUAGGAGUGAAAUCCCGUAAUCCUGGACGGACCGCCGGUAGCGAAAGCGUCUCUGGAGAACGGACCCGACGGUGAGGGACGAAAGCUUGGGUCUCGAACCGGAUUAGAUACCCGGGUAGUCCAAGCUGUAAACGAUGCUCGCUAGGUGUGGCGUUGGCUACGAGCCAGCGCUGUGCCGUAGGGAAGCCGAGAAGCGAGCCGCCUGGGAAGUACGUCCGCAAGGAUGAAACUUA